rnacentral:rRNA from 1 species
UACGUAGGGUGCAAGCGUUGUCCGGAAUUAUUGGGCGUAAAGAGCUCGUAGGCGGCUUGUCGCGUCGCUGUGAAAACCUGGGGCUCAACCCCGGGCCUGCAGCCGAUACGGGCAAGCUAGAAUUCGGUAGGGGAGACUGGAAUUCCUGGUGUAGCGGUGAAAUGCGCAGAUAUCAGGAGGAACACCGGUGGCGAAGGCGGCCUGCUGGGCAGUUGCUGACACUGAGGCGCGACAGCGUGGGGAGCAAACAGG